AGUCGGAUGAAUGAUCGCGGCCGGAGAUCGUAAGGAUCUUCCGGGUGAGGAAAGUCCGGGCUUCACAGGGCAGGAUGCCUGAUAACGUCAGGUGGAGGCGACUCUAAGGAAAGUGCAGCAGAAAAUAUACCGCCCUUUUUAAGGGUAAGGGUGAAAUGGCAGUGUAAGAGACUACCGCGUUUCCGGUAACGGAAAUGGCAGUGUAAACCCCAUCCGAAGCAAGACCAAACAGGAACGAGAGGCGGCCCGUCUCGUUUUUAAGUUCCGGGUAGGUCGCUUGAGCUGUCCGGCGACGGGCAGUCUAGACAGAUGAUCAUUCACGACAUAACCCGGCUUACAGUCCGGCUCA
rnacentral:RNase_P_RNA from 1 species